GCCCUGGCUCCUUCUCUCCUCUCCCCUCCAGUUGGCAGCGCGCAAGACUCUUGAUCUCAGGGUUGUGAGUUCGAGCCUCACGUGGGGCA